UUGUUUUGUAGAGGGCGACUUCAGCAGGCCUGCAGCACAGCUCUUCUACCUGAAAGGAGGUCUAAUCAGCCACAGUAACUCAAAUCACCUGUGUGGGUGUCCAAGCGUUUGAAUAAGCUCAUUAGGCAGUAAUGUUUGUUGUAACAAGGCAGCCCGGUCCCACCAUACUGCGGUCUGAGCACAAGCAAGCAAUCUGUUUGUCAGCGCUGCUGCUGCUGCAGCAAAAGCGCCCGACUUCUGCCUCAGGAGCAGCCUAAGUAUGUUGUGGCGUGUUUACCAGCAAUCGAGCCAGAUGGCUGUUUUACUCCCAGUAAACUGAUGUGGUGAUUAAUGCCGGCAAGGAUCAGGAAUUAUUCAAUGCAGUCAAAGUGCUGUGGAGAAUACUCUCCUUUAUUUGCUCAUUUCUUUAUUGUCAUCGUACUGGUUUAACAACAAAAUCCAGGUGCACUACCUGACCGUGGGAUUUAUCCUCUGAGGAACAUGAAUAUCUGCACAAAUGUCAGAGUAGGCCGGAAAGUUUGAACGUUUGGAUCAAAGUGGUGGACCGACAGAGCGACUGAUGACCAGAACCAUAAAACCACAAAAUCUCACAAGACAUCUCAUACAGUACUUUGUCGACCACUACGGGGAGCAGCCGAAAAGACCGACACGUGACCAGCAUGUAUCCCGGAGAUACGCAGCAGGUUCACCUUCUUCGGUGCACAUAUGCAGCUUUCUCCGGACCUCGAGGUGUCAGAGGUCAAGCAGGGAGGGACACAGAGCUUCGUACUUAUGAAGCUAAAGCUCCUGAGGCAUUGUUGUUCAUCUCUGAGGUUUAAACAAACCAAAUUACAACGGUGUACUUUGUUUUCAGUGAGCCAUUAAAGUUUGUUUUUAAACUUUUAA